CCUACGGGAGGCAGCAGUGAGGAAUAUUGGUCAAUGGGCGCGAGUCUGAACCAGCCAAGUAGCGUGAAGGAUGACUGCCCUACGGGUUGUAAACUUCUUUUAUAAAGGAAUAAAGUGAGGCACGUGUGCCUUUUUGUAUGUACUUUAUGAAUAAGGGUCGGCUAUCUCCGUGCCAGCAGCGGCGGUAAUACGGAGGAUCUGAGCGUUUUCCGAUUUUAUUGGGUUUAAAGGGAGCGUAGAUGGGUUGUUAUGUCAGUUGUGAAAGUUUGCGGCUCAACCGUAAAAUUGAAAUUAAUACUGGCGGUCUUGAGUACAGUUGAGGUAGGCGGAAUUAGGGGUGUAGCGGUGAAAUG
rnacentral:rRNA from 1 species